UCAACUCGAAUUAAAAGGUAUCAUGUAAGUAUCCCCCCCCCCGGAUUUGAAUAAGGAACUGAGCAAAUAAGGAAACAGACGAAUAAGGAACUGCGAAUAAGGAACCAGAAUCACACUGGUGCUAUAACAUUUGAUUUUGGGGUCGUACAAUGAUAAGAAUAUUCGGUACUUGUUUUGUUGAGCUUGCUUGUGAGAUGAUUCCCUUCUCUUCUAUACAAUUCCUUUAUAUGUUUUUUUUUACUUGUAAGAAAUAUGUUAGAAACCAGACUUGAACGAGUCUUACUUCUUUUUUCGUGGCUGCUUCGUCUUAUAUACCCGAGCAUCGCCGAGGACUAAUCGAUACGCUUCCGUGCGUCACGCAAUCCAGAUUUUACACACGCAACUUAUUUUUAGCAAUAACAAGAGGUCAUUUUCGAUAUAUCAGCGAUAUAGGAUUUAUCAAACUUGAUUUACCAAACUUGAUUUAUCAAACUUGACUCUAGUUAACUUUACUGUGGGGUUAUGUCUCAAAAACAGGCCAACCAUUGAUGGUCACAUAAUGCCCUUCGGAAGUAACUCGCCUUUUUUAACACAGUGUUCGCAUUUGCGCGCUAAAUGCAAAUCUAGGUACGGGAUGUUUUGACUAUAUGCUUUCUAGCGUGGUGUAUCACGGACUUGGUCGAGAUCGCGUGCGUGCGUGUGCGUGUUAGCAAUGCGGUCUUCAGCCAGUUCAGGAGGAACGCGUAACGCAAUCAUUUCUAUUGUCUCACCGAGGUCACGCAUCAGUCGUGCUGGAAAACAACCGCAGACCGGAAAAGCUGGGGGUUUUUUUCGCGCCCGCGCUCUUCAUCCAAGAGCUGAUUGUUGCCUAAGCUAGAGGAAGGUUAGAGGAGUAGAUCGACGUGAAAUACGGCCAGAGUUACCAAAUAAAUAUCUAUUUAUCGAAGUUCGACGAUAGCGCACCGAGUCACUUGUCCGCCAUAUUGGAAGAGGAAUGUGGUUCAAGACAACACAAAGAACAAGAAAGCGAAAUUUACUAUUUAGUGUGUUGACUUUGUAGAGUAGACAAUAAAAACACAAAUCCUUUCUCGUUUUGGUUGAGCGCUUGUAUGGGUUUUAGAUAGCGAAAUAUCCAAUAAAAUGUUGAACCAAGCAAAUUUAUCGUGAAGGCUCUAAUUCCAUCCAUGUAA